GAUGAACGCUGGCGGCGUGCCUAAUACAUGCAAGUCGAGCGAACGGACGAGAAGCUUGCUUCUCUGAUGUUAGCGGCGGACGGGUGAGUAACACGUGGAUAACCUACCUAUAAGACUGGGAUAACUUCGGGAAACCGGAGCUAAUACCGGAUAAUAUUUUGAACCGCAUGGUUCAAAAGUGAAAGACGGUCUUGCUGUCACUUAUAGAUGGAUCCGCGCUGCAUUAGCUAGUUGGUAAGGUAACGGCUUACCAAGGCAACGAUGCAUAGCCGACCUGAGGGGGUGAUCGGCCACACUGGAACUGAGACACGGUCCAGACUCCUACGGGAGGCAGCAGUAGGGAAUCUUCCGCAAUGGGCGAAAGCCUGACGGAGCAACGCCGCGUGAGUGAUGAAGGUCUUCAGAUCGUAAAACUCUGUUAUUAGGGAAGAACAUAUGUGUAAGUAACUGUGCACAUCUUGACGGUACCUAAUCAGAAAGCCACGGCUAACUACGUG
rnacentral:rRNA from 1 species